CAUCGAUAACGAGUUCAUACAUUGCUCUGCCUCCACACCAGUAAAUUCGCAGUAAAAGCAGGAAAGUUUGAGCCUUUACAAUACAACCAAUAUUUUCCAAUUCCUCAAGUAUUCCUCGCACCGUUCUAAAUCUCGUAGUAAGGUUAGAAAUCACACUUACCAUGUGAAGAAAAGUGUUUCUGUCAUGAAAGUAAUUGGGUAGCUUGGCACACCACAGGAAAAAGCUUAGAGCAAUCAAAUCAGAAGAGCAGCUUCGCAGAGUGGAUUGCACAACUUGAGGGGUAAGGAUGACUGUUUUGUGAACCCCCAAAACUCGUUGACUCAGAGCAAAUUUACUGGAAAAUGAAUUUUCACUAAAUCUCGUAGUAAGGUUAGAAAUCACACUUACCAUGUGAAGAAAAGUGUUUCUGUCAUGAAAGUAAUUGGGUAGCUUGGCACACCACAGGAAAAAGCUUAGAGCAAUCAAAUCAGAAGAGCAGCUUCGCAGAGUGGAUUGCACAACUUGAGGGGUAAGGAU
rnacentral:lncRNA from 1 species